rnacentral:ncRNA from 1 species
UCUCCGGCGCGUUCUACAGGUUGUGCGACGCAAUAGCGUAAAAUGGGAAGAUGGUGCGAAUCCAUCACGGGCCCGCCACUGUAAUCGGGGACGAACCUCAGCAAAACCACUGCCUGGAAGGGAGUAGGAAGUAGGAGUAAGGAGCAAGUAGGAAAGAAAUCCUGAAAACCGACUUCUGAAUAUCCAGGUGGGAAGGGAUGAGGGGAGAAUGAUCCGUCAGUCAGGAAACCUGCCUGUAGAAGAGUAACGUU